rnacentral:lncRNA from 1 species
GCGCAGGCUCGGCGUUGGCCUCCGCGGCCCGUGCGAGUGCGCCCUUCUCGGGUCCCCUAGGUCGCGGGGCAGCCGGGGCGGAAGGGGCUUGUUCAUUAUUUUGAGAGUUUGUUGUGAACGUCAUAACCUUUCGUCCUUAAAUAUUGCCGAUACUUGACCUACGCAAGAGACAAUGUCAUGUGAUUCAGCCUAAUAUCUCGAUGUAAUAAGGACUUAUGAACAGAAGACAUGUCUGUGUGCCAGGCAGCUGUGAGACAAAAUCGUGGAUCUCCGCACUGUAAACCCCCAGACCCAGGACUUACAUAACCUAGGGAAAUGUUGUUUCAGAAGGGAUGUGUAGGACAGUUGAAGUACAAGAACAUCAAGGUCAUUUCACCCAAGGGCAGAAUUUAUAUGGCGGAUCCCCACUGCAAAAGUUUCUCUAAGUUUCAAAAGGUCAAGGCCUAGAUCAGCACUAGCAAAAGCAGCAGGAACAACUUUAGUGAAAUCACUAAGACAGAAUUCGCACAAGGAACUCAAUGUCUGUACAGGAGGAUGCAGCAUUCAAGGUUCUAUCUUGGAAGCAGAGACUGUGCCCUCACCAGAUGCUGAACCUGCUGAGCACCCUGAUCUUCCACUUCACCUUCAUCAGAACGGGUGCUAAGAAUUCUGAAUUUAUUGAGGAAAUAAAUGUCUGAUUGCAACAAAAGAAAACUUGUCUGGCUUUGGGAAGGAAGAGGCUUAGGAAAAAAAUUAAAGGCGUCUUUACUAGAAGUUCAAGACUGGGGCUGUGGCUGAGAUGUCACAUGGCAGAUAGGAUCACAAAUUUCUGUUGUAUCUGGAUGGAGAUCAGCAGGAGGAUCUAUGGGUGAGAAGAAGCACAGUUACAGAUGGAUUCUAGAGCCUGCUUGCUGACACAGGCUUGCAACUGCGGACUUUAUAAGCUUAGUUUUUAAUCUGCUAUCAGCUAGCAUAAUACCAUAAAUGCAUAAGAAACUAAGUAUUCAGUCUUACGAGAAAUGCUAUCUUGACCUGACCCUUUCUCCAAAUAAAUUGACAAAAUAUCUCAUCGUCUAGGAUGCCAGACAGAAAUACCAGUUGCAAUGUUUUGUUGCAUAAAGUUUAUCCUAAUUUAAAUUAGUGGCAUAUAAAGUCAUCAUCUUGCUUGAACAAACAUCUUAUUAAAUUGAGCAUGUCUUUUAUCCCAUGAAAUGAAAUUAAUUUUGAGAUAGUUAUUUUUCAGUUGGAAAUUUAUUGAGUUGAUAGAAAACAAGUUAUAUAGUCUUCCAAAGAAUAUGUUACAUCCAUUUGCAUUUUGUUUUUCUUCAGCAAUGUUUGGUUUUUAGAAAAUCUUACAAGUUAAAUGGUACUUCAAAGAGGACAUCCUCUCCUGAAGAACAGAAGAACCUGAAAUGUUUGGAGCCUAAGACUGCUGUGAUUGCACCUGCCAUCUUAUGCAGAAAUGACCUGAAGACAGACUGAAACAACGUGGGUUUUCGUAUCAGGAUGAUGCUGGCCUCAUACAAUGAGUUAGGGACGCGCAUGAAAUUUGGUGCCGUGACUCGGAUCGGCGGACCUCCCUUAGGAGAUCAAUCCCCUGUCCUCCUGCUCUUUGCUCCAUGAGAAAGAUCCACCUACGACCUAAGGUCCUCAGACCAACCAGCCCAAGAAACAUCUCACCAAUUUCAAAUCCGAAAUCCUUCAUCUAAUCUGGCAAACACAUGUGGCAGGUUUUUCUCACCGCAUAAAAUAUGUUAUAGAGUAGUCCAUCUAUUUCUCUUCCAUGGAAGAGUUCAUCUGGUAGAUUGGACUACCACUUUUCCUGGUGGAGACCUAUUCUGUUGGGUUAGAGAUGACAGAAAAUCUUAUUUGUCGGUUGGUUUGUUUGUUCAAGAAUACACUGACCUUCUACAAGAAAGGAGAGCUCUUUGACACCUGGAAAGUUUACAGAAGCUUGGGACAGCUCUGAAUGGCAACACGGUCCUGAGAUAUGUGAUUACCUGGGACUUUCAUUGGACCUGCAUUUCAGCUCUACUCUCCUCACUGCCCUAUGCUGCUUUGACCCUAAAAGUGAAGCCAGCUUGGCCAGGUGCAGUGACUCACACCUGUAAUCCCAGCACUUUGGGAGGCCGAGGUGGGCAAAUCAAGAAGUCAGGAAAUCGAGACCACCCUGGCCAACAUUGUGAAACACCAUCUCUACUAAAACACAAAAAAAUUAGCCAGGUGUGGUGGCACGCACCUGUAGUCCCAGCUACUCGGGAGGCUGAGGCAGGGGAAUCACUUGAACCCGUGAGGAGGAAAUUGCAGCGAGCCAAGAUCGCGCCACUGCACCCCAGCCUGGGCGACAGAGAGAGACUCCAUCUCAAAAACAAAACAAAACAAAACAAAAAAAACAAAAAGUGAAGCCAACUCAAUUGUCUCAUAGAACUGAUCUUUACGGUGUUUUUAAAUAAACAUAGAAAUUGGCCCUCCCAGUCUUAAAACUUCAAAAACUUACAUUUGUCUUACCUCAGUUCCUUUCUCAGGAAUCCAAUCAUCAAGGCUCCCAGAUAGUAUCAAUGAACGGAAACUUACCAGAUCACGAUAUCUGGACAAUGAGAUGUCAGAUCCCCCUCAUCCAUCCUGAUUACCUAACUGACUACCUGCUUCCUGUUGGCCAACUACUCUUCCUUACCCCUCCCUAAUUCUUGUUUUCCCACAAAUGGUUACAUUUCUGUCCUGCUAUAGAAGCCCUUAAUUUUAAUUGGUCGAGGAGAUGGAUUUGAGACUGAUUUUUUGCUCUCCUUGGCUGUUGCACCUGAAUAGCCUUUUUCCCUGGCAAUACUUUUUGUCUCAGUGAUUGGCUUUCUGUGCAGUGAGCAAUGGGACCAAACUUCUGGUGUUUUGGUAACAAAUUUUGGUUUCCUGACUGUGAAUGCAUUGCUUGUGACUCAGCUGCCAUGAGCUGGGAGAGUUUCAAAAGCCCUCUAAGCAGCUACCUGACCAUUUUGGCCAGAGGUGGAUUUUCGUCUCUCCCCAUUUGGGCCCACUUCUGCCAACCCCAACCAUGUUCCUGAUUGCCUAGGAAGAACAGCCUUUGAAAUUUGACGUCUAUGUACAGAAAGGUGAGUGUCUUUUAUGGGUACUAGACAGUGGGAAUGGUUCCUCUCCAUUUGGGAAAUCCCAAAGGCAUAUCAGUUUGCAGGUUAAACAAGCCAAACUGAUGGAGAGAGGAUAAUACCUUGACUGAUUCAGUUUGAACACUCUUGGGGCUUGUUCAUUGCUACAGAAGUUGGAUUGUGUUUUGGUGAUUGUUUGCUUGUGUAUGUCUAUGUAGUUAUGGGAUGUCAGGGUUUGAUCCCAGAGUGCAGCCCACAUGGGUGCAUUCUUUGGGUUAGUCUGUAUGUAGUUGUGGGUUGACAGAGCAGGGGAAAUUCUACAGCCAUACCACUCUGAGUGUGGCUGAUCUUGUCUGAUCGCGAUGUCUUUGCAUUGUAGUGCUGUCUUACAAUUGAAUUCAUUUUGCUGUUGAAUGGGAAAGCAGGAUGGAGGUCCAUGUAUGUAUGCUUUUAUGCUGCUGCUCUGAACAGGGUUGGGCCUGAUUAGUACUGUGAUGCUCUUCUGUGGUGCUGUUUGGCCCCAGUGUUCUUUGGAAUCCGGGGAAUUUUGGCCUUUAAAAGUUAAACUGCCAUGGGAACUGAUUUACCCAGUUUUAGUUCAUAGCCUUCAUUGUAUUAUCUAUCAGGGCAAAAAAGUUAGCCGUGUGAACAUGUUCGUAAACCAGUGAGUUUGUAUUGCUAUCUCAUGCCUAGAAUUCUAAAGUAAAAACUAUUGGGUCUUUGUUUGUAUAUAUGUAUAUGGGUCUAAAUGUUAUGUGUUGUUUUUACAGGGUACAGAUUGGCUCAUAAAUAAAAGAGCACUCAUAAAUUAAGUGA